CUUGAGUUUGAUUACAACAACGGGAGUUAAUGAAGAGGAGUGCGGCUCGACAGUUCGAUGCGAGUAGCAUGGAGCCUGCCAAUACACACAACCAAAACACCACUCAUAUGCCUAUUCCGUACUAGUAGUAGCGCCCAUGCACACCGCCCAACAGCCCACCCAACCGAAUGGUAGGGGAGCGGAAGGAACAACGAAUGAGGGCGCACCACAACCGCUUGGCACGAGAACUACGAGGGGAAAAGUCCCACCGGGACUUGGUCGAGCCAAGACCGAGCCUACAAACUCAGCUUACACCCCCCAGUGCGCCGUUGCCGUCAAAGGGACUUGGUACCAGGGUCGCGGGCAGUUUCGAAUGCGGGCAAGGGCUUGGCAAGGCCAAGGCACCGUGUGGUCGCCGACUUGGGAUGCACAAGGUAUCCCUAAACGUCACGGGGGCGAAAGGGCAAGCCAAGCUCGAGCCCAUAGCAAUGCAUAAGCCACCCCAAGAGAUCUUUGCCCGAAUAGGGAACUUGGUCCUGGAGUCGUUGGCUACAUUUCUAUGGGCACGUGUUUGACCGGCCGAAAAAUUGUCACCCCGGCCACCACCGCCGGUGACCGGAUCACCCCCGUGGUGAGUCAUUGCGGGACGACCCGACCCCUAUGUGGGGCUAGACGCACCCCACCUCGGCUCGGAGGGGGGGCACGCCAGGGGUCAACGGAUCUCUACCCCUUAAAGAGCUAAAAAAACUUCGUCAAUAUGCUACCAGGAAACAUUCGACUGUCUGAAAUGGGGACACUCUUCUUUAGCCCGCACAUCUAAUGCACCAAGGUGCCGAUGGGUUCCCGAGGCUCCCGCACAACCAAGCACCAAGUUGCCGAUGGUGUCCGAGGCUCCCGCACCUCCUAGCCACCAAGGUGCCGAUGCUGCCCGAGGCUCCCGUACAUCCGAGCCACUAAGGUGCCGAUGGUGCCCGAGGCUCCCGCACGACCAAGGGUCGAGGUGCCGAUGGUGGUCAAGGCCCCCGCAUGACCAAGGGCCUAUUUUACCGAUGGUGCCCGAGGCUCCCACACGACCAAGGGCUUAGUUUGCCGAUAGUGCCCGAGCCUCUCGCACGACCAAGGGCCUAGGCUGCCGAUGGUGUGCGAGGUUCUCGCACAUCCAAGCACCAAGGUGCCGAAAGUGCUCGAGGCUCCCGUACGACCAAGGGCCUAGGUUGCCGACAGUGUCUGAGGCUCCCGCACAUCAUAGCACCGAGGUGCUGAUGGUGCCCAAGGCUCUCGCACGACCAAGGGCCUAGAUUGCCGAUGGUGCCCGAGUCUCCCGCACAUCGAAGCACCGAGGUGCCGAUGGCACCCGAGGCUCUCGUACAUCGAAGCACCGAGGUGCCGAUGGCACCCGAGGCUCCUGCAUGACCAAGGGCUUAGUUUGCCGAUGGUGUCCGGAGCUCCUGCACAUCCUAGCACCGAGGUGCCCGAGGCUCCCGUACGACCAAGGGCCUAUGCUACCGGAACGGUUCGCCGGAGUACCGACGGGACGGUUCGCCGGAGCACCGCCGGGACGGAUCGCCGGAGCACUACCGGGAACCUAACCGGCGGUGGGGGGCACCGACGUCCGGGCAUACGGUGGGCGUGGGCCGUGCCCUGGGCAACCCCUGCUCGCUCAAUAUCACCUCCCCCCUAAAGAGCUAAAAAAACUUGGUCAAUGCGCUACCAGGUGACAUUCUUUUUUUUUGAAACAAAAACAACCACAAGGGUCAACACAAUUUAUUACGAAACAUCACGAAUUACAGCAUUGUGGAUUUCCGGAGGAUAAUCCAUAUCGAACAAAUAUUUUUUUCCCUCGCUAUACAUUUUUUUACAAAGUAAAUGAGCUACAGUAUUACAUGACCGUUCGGUCCAAAUUAAAUUGGCCGAUUUAAAAAAGCUGAAGGCUGCUGUACAUUCCUUUAUCCGCUCGCCUAUCAUAGUAACGUCAUGGGCUGACUUAUUGAAUUUAUUGACCAGCCCCACGUGAUAUGUUUCGAAAAGAACAUGUUCUUUAAAAUUCAAAUUACGCGCCACGUUGAUGCUUUCUUCAAAUGCCAUGCACUCAGCCUCUUCCACCGACAUCCUACCCUCUUUAAAACCCCCACCACCUCCCAAGACAAAUCCCUCUUCAUCCCUUAUAAUCGUUCCAAAACUGAUUUUGUCUUCGCCUACUGUAGCAUCGAAGUUUAUUUUAAUGAAGCCCAUUGGAGGUUUUUUCCACUUUUUCUCCGCUGCGUUCUGUGGCAGUAAUGGCUCGUUCGUCAUAUUAAAAAUUCGAAACUCCUUGGUCAAGUUGCUAGCUCUUUCCCAUAUUUGCUUGGCCUCAUCUUCUUUACCCCUGAAAAUAAAAUUAUUCCUGUUAUUCGAGCAGUUCCAAAGGGUUUUCAACAAGUCGACCAUCGCUCUCUUGUCAAGGUCCCACAUUAAAUCUUCCAACCAAUCCGCGCAGUGAUCAUAAUUCUUCGAAAUAAAGCUCCUGGACCACCCUCCGAUCGAUAGAACUGCUCUCGAGGUUGGGCAGUCUUUUAAAGCAUGCAACACGGUUUCGAUCUUUGCUCCGCAUCGAGGACACCCCUUUUCAAAACCCUGUCUAAUAGAGGCGAUCUUAGAAUUCGUGGGGAGUAUUUCAUGCCCCACCCUCCACGCGAAAACCCUGAUCUUCGGUAGAGUAUCGAGCUUCCAUAACGCUUUCCAAAGGAACCUGUGAGGUCCGUAUCCCAUAUCUUUCAGCAAUAGCCAUGAAUAUGCGGAUUUUGAGGUAUAACACCCGUGAGGGUUAUGAUACCAUAUCAUUCUAUCUUCCUGGCCUUCCCUUCCAAUGGGAAUAUUGCAAAUCUUGUCCCCCCAGUCUUGUCCAUAUACUUGCCUGACUUUAUUAACCUCCCAACACCUCCGAUCCAUAUGCCAAAGGUUUUUUACACUCUUCUCAUCUCUUUUAAGAGUGUUGCUUAAGAUAACGUCCCCGUUGAGCCCUUCCAUUCCCCAAUUAUCAUCCCAAAUAUUUAUCCUCUCGCCAUUUCCAACCUGCCAUCCAAAGCCAUCUUUGAGCGUUUCCGCUGCUGUCGCAAUACUUGUCCAAGUGAAUGACGCUUUGUCCACAUUUUUUGCAUUAAAGAUGUUACCGUCGGGAAAGUAUUUUGAAGACAAAACCUUAAAGCAGAGAGUAUCAGUAUUGUUUAUUAGUCUCCACACUUGACGCCCUAAAAGAGCCAGGUUGAAGAGUCGCACGUUUCUAAUUCCAAGACCUCCCAUAGCCUUCGGCUUACACAGCGUUUUCCAUGGGGUCAUUGUCCAGAAUCUCCCUCUAUCUUUUCCCGUCCACCAUGUUCUGCUGAAAUUAGCUUGAAUAUCCUCGAUGAUGCUUUUGGGAGCCAAGAAAAUUGACAGAGCGUACGUAGGAAUGGAUUGGAGAACCGCUUUAAUGAAGACUUCUUUUCCCCCAGACGAUAGCAAUCUCUUUGUCCAGCUGUUAAUCCUGCAAGACAGUCUAUUAGUAAUCUCUUGGAAAGCAACAGUUUUUUUCUUACCAAUCGGGAUAGGGAGGCCUAGAUAGUUGUUUAAGCUUUCCACCACCGACAUGCCUAGGAUACCACCAAGGACUGUUCUCUGGUCACGUAAAGUGUUAGGGCUGAAUAGGACCAUUGACUUAUAAAAUUAACCUCUUGUCCUGAAAUAUUAGAAAAAUUAUUAAGCAUGUUAACAAGGCUCUCCACAUUGCUCUUCUUGUUUCUCACAAACAACAGUGCAUCAUCAGCAAAAAAUAAGUGAUUUAUUCUGGGGCCGUUCCUGCUGGCCCGUAUGCCUCUUAAAGUGUUGUUCUCCUGAGCAUGGGUAAGCAUUCUCGACAGAGCUUCCAUGCAAAAUAAGAACAAAUAAGGAGAGAGAGGGUCCCCUUGUCGGAGCUCCCUCUCAGGGAUAAAAGUUUCUGAUAAGAUAUUGUUGCAUUUAACCGUAUAACUAACCGAACGAACGCAUUCCAUUAUUUUGGCAAUCCACUUCCCAUUGAAUCCCAUUUUCUUCAUAAUUAUUUCCAAGAAAUUCCACUCUACGCGGUCAGAAGCUUUGCUCAUGUCGAGCUUGACCACGAGCCCUUUAUUAGGACCAUUUUUAGAGCUUUUAAGGUAAUGGAGAAGCUCAUGCGCAAUUAAGAUAUUGUCGUGUAUCAUCCUCCCCGGCACAAAUGCGCUUUGAUUUUGGCUAAUGCAGCUUGGUAGGACAGCUUUUAACCGAUUUGCAUACACCUUAGAGAUGAUCUUGUACACAAACCUGCACAAACUAAUAGGUCAAAAGUUAGUAAGCUCACAAGGAUCUCUAGUUUUAGGAAUUAAAAUGAUCAUAGUAUCGUUGAGGCAAGAGAUAUCCUUUUUCCCGUUUAAAAUAUCCAAGCAGUAUCUAAUAGUGUCCUUUCCCACUAUCUCCCAAUGGUGUUUGAAGAAAUUGCCCGAUAGACCAUCGAUGCCAGGGGCUUUAUUAGGGUCCAUCUGCUUAAUUGUCUGAGUAAUCUCUUCCUCUGUAUAGAUCAUAUUGAGCCUUUCAUUUGUUUCCCUCGUAACGCACUCCUUUAUAUGCCCCAUCUCUUGGAUGUUAGCAUUUUGACUGUGUGACCGGAACAAACUCACAAAGUAAUCUUUGGCCACCUUACAUAUUUCUUUACUAUUUGUCACCCAAUUUCCUUCCGCAUCUUUGAGCCUCUCAAUGUUAUUCUUCUUUAAACGACCAGUUGCUUUAGCAUGGAAAAACCUGGUAUUUCUAUCUCCCUCCCUCAGCCAUCUUGACCUAGACCUUUGGGCCCAGUAGCUUUCUUCCUUAGCGUAUAGAAAGUCGAGCCUUCUGCGAGUUUCCUUGAGAGUUUUCCCACUAUCCUCUUUGCUUGCAGAAUCAAUGACCACCUCGAUCUGUUUUUCCAAUUUUCGCAUUUCGUUCUUCAUUUUUCCAAAUUUUUUACAUUUCCAUGGACCGAGCGCCGAUCAAACCCUAUCCAUUUUAUCCCCGUA
rnacentral:lncRNA from 1 species